CCUACUCCACAGACACUACCUGAACCGUGGCUCCUGAUCCACUAAGACAGACAGACAGGAGGUCUGUUAUCUGGUUCACGGUAGACCUACUCCACAGACACUACCUGAACCGUGGCUCCUGAUCCACUAAGACAGACAGAGGAGGUCUGUUAUCUGGGCUGGUUGACCACCUUGGGGACAGGGCUCCUGAUCCACUAACACAGACAGAUGAGGCCUGUUAUCUGGGCUGGUUGACCACCUUGGGGACAGGGAUCCUGAUCCACUAACACAGACAGAUGAGGCCUGUUAUCUGGGCUGGUUGACCACCUUGGGGACAGGGAUCCUGAUCCAAUAACACAGACAGAUGAGGUCUGUUAUCUGGGCUGGUUGACCACCUUGGGGACAGGGCUCCUGAUCCACUAACACAGACAGAUGAGGCCUGUUAUCUGGGCUGGUUGACCGCCUUGGGGACAGGGAUCCUGAUCCAAUAACACAGACAGAUGAGGCCUGUUAUCUGGGCUGGUUGACCACCUUGGGGACAGGGAUCCUGAUCCAAUAACACAGACAGAUGAGGUCUGUUAUCUGGGCUGGUUGACCACCUUGGGGACAGGGAUCCUGAUCCACUAACACAGACAGAUGAGGCCUGUUAUCUGGGCUGGUUGACCACCUUGGGGACAGGGAUCCUGAUCCAAUAACACAGACAGAUGAGGCCUGUUAUCUGGGCUGGUUGACCACCUUGGGGACAGGGAUCCUGAUCCACUAACACAGACAGAUGAGGUCUGUUAUCUGGGCUGGUUGACCACCUUGGGGACAGGGCUCCUGAUCCAAUAACACAGACAGAUGAGGCCUGUUAUCUGGGCUGGUUGACCACCUUGGGGACAGGGAUCCUGAUCCAAUAACACAGACAGAUGAGGUCUGUUAUCUGGGCUGGUUGACCACCUUGGGGACAGGGAUCCUGAUCCACUAACACAGACAGAUGAGGCCUGUUAUCUGGGCUGGUUGACCACCUUGAGGACAGGGAUCCUGAUCCACUAACACAGACAGAUGAGGCCUGUUAUCUGGGCUGGUUGACCACCUUGGGGACAGGGCUCCUGAUCCACUAACACAGACAGAGGAGGUCUGUUAUCUGGACUGGUUGACCACCUUGAGGACAGGGAUCCUGAUCCACUAACACAGACAGAUGAGGUCUGUUAUCUGGGCUGGUUGACCACCUUGAGGACAGGGAUCCUGAUCCACUAACACAGACAGAUGAGGCCUGUUAUCUGGGCUGGUUGACCACCUUGAGGACAGGGAUCCUGAUCCACUAACACAGACAGAUGAGGCCUGUUAUCUGGGCUGGUUGACCACCUUGGGGACAGGGAUCCUGAUCCACUAACACAGACAGAUGAGGCCUGUUAUCUGGGCUGGUUGACCACCUUGGGGACAGGGCUCCUGAUCCACUAACACAGACAGAUGAGGCCUGUUAUCUGGGCUGGUUGACCACCUUGGGGACAGGGAUCCUGAUCCACUAACACAGACAGAUGAGGCCUGUUAUCUGGGCUGGUUGACCACCUUGGGGACAGGGAUCCUGAUCCACUAACACAGACAGAUGAGGCCUGUUAUCUGGGCUGGUUGACCACCUUGGGGACAGGGAUCCUGAUCCACUAACACAGACAGAUGAGGCCUGUUAUCUGGGCUGGUUGACCACCUUGGGGACAGGGAUCCUGAUCCAAUAACACAGACAGAUGAGGUCUGUUAUCUGGGCUGGUUGACCACCUUGGGGACAGGGAUCCUGAUCCACUAACACAGACAGAUGAGGCCUGUUAUCUGGGCUGGUUGACCACCUUGGGGACAGCGAUCCUGAUCCAAUAACACAGACAGAUGAGGUCUGUUAUCUGGGCUGGUUGACCACCUUGGGGACAGGGAUCCUGAUCCACUAACACAGACAGAUGAGGUCUGUUAUCUGGGCUGGUUGACCACCUUGGGGACAGGGAUCCUGAUCCACUAACACAGACAGAUGAGGCCUGUUAUCUGGGCUGGUUGACCACCUUGGGGACAGGGAUCCUGAUCCACUAACACAGACAGAUGAGGCCUGUUAUCUGGGCUGGUUGACCACCUUGGGGACAGGGAUCCUGAUCCACUAACACAGACAGAUGAGGCCUGUUAUCUGGGCUGGUUGACCACCUUGGGGACAGGGCUACUGAUCCACUAACACAGACAGAUGAGGCCUGUUAUCUGGGCUGGUUGACCACCUUGGGGACAGGGAUCCUGAUCCACUAACACAGACAGAUGAGGCCUGUUAUCUGGGCUGGUUGACCACCUUGGGGACAGGGCUACUGAUCCACUAACACAGACAGAUGAGGCCUGUUAUCUGGGCUGGUUGACCACCUUGGGGACAGGGCUACUGAUCCACUAACACAGACAGAUGAGGCCUGUUAUCUGGGCUGGUUGACCACCUUGGGGACAGGGAUCCUGAUCCACUAACACAGACAGAUGAGGCCUGUUAUCUGGGCUGGUUGACCACCUUGGGGACAGGGAUCCUGAUCCACUAACACAGACAGAUGAGGUCUGUUAUCUGGACUGGUUGACCACCUUGGGGACAGGGAUCCUGAUCCACUAACACAGACAGAUGAGGCCUGUUAUCUGGGCUGGUUGACCACCUUGGGGACAGGGAUCCUGAUCCACUAACACAGACAGA